GGAACUGAGCUUAAACCCUGCAGAUACUCAGUCUGGUCCAGGAAUGAUUCAGGACACGGCUGAUGCUGAUGAUGGUGUUUCUUACGCCUCCAUCAGCUUCACCAAGAAGACCAAGAAUAAAUCCAGGACCCGUGAUGGUAAUGAUGAUGGUGACACUGUGACCUACAGCACUGUGAAAGCGUCUUCCUCACCUUAUGGAGUUUCCACUGAUCCCAACAACCUCUAUUCCACCAUCAGCAACCCAAAGAAAUAAGAUGUUGCUCAUGCUAAGUCUUUUAAACCACACACACACACACACACACACAUAUAUAUAUAUAUAUAUAUAUUUAUAUAUA
ensembl:lncRNA